UUAAGCGACUAAGCGUACACGGUGGAUGCCCUGGCAGUCAGAGGCGAUGAAGGACGUGCUAAUCUGCGAAAAGCGUCGGUAAGGUGAUAUGAACCGUUAUAGCCGGCGAUGUCCGAAUGGGGAAACCCAGUGUGAUUCGUCACACUAUCGUUAACUGAAUACAUAGGUUAACGAGGCGAACCGGGGGAACUGAAACAUCUAAGUACCCCGAGGAAAAGAAAUCAACCGAGAUUCCCCCAGUAGCGGCGAGCGAACGGGGAGCAGCCCAGAGUCUGAAUCAGCUUGUGUGUUAGUGGAACGGUCUGGAAAGUCCGACGGUACAGGGUGAUAGUCCCGUACACCAAAAUGCACAGGCUGUGAACUCGAAGAGUAGGGCGGGACACGUGGUAUCCUGUCUGAAUAUGGGGGGACCAUCCUCCAAGGCUAAAUACUCCUGACUGACCGAUAGUGAACCAGUACCGUGAGGGAAAGGCGAAAAGAACCCCGGCGAGGGGAGUGAAAAAGAACCUGAAACCGUGUACGUACAAGCAGUGGGAGCACCUUCGGGUGUGACUGCGUACCUUUUGUAUAAUGGGUCAGCGACUUAUAUUCUGUAGCAAGGUUAACCGUAUAGGGGAGCCGCAGGGAAACCGAGUCUUAACUGGGCGUUAAGUUGCAGGGUAUAGACCCGAAACCCGGUGAUCUAGCCAUGGGCAGGUUGAAGGUUGGGUAACACUAACUGGAGGACCGAACCGACUAAUGUUGAAAAAUUAGCGGAUGACUUGUGGCUGGGGGUGAAAGGCCAAUCAAACCGGGAGAUAGCUGGUUCUCCCCGAAAGCUAUUUAGGUAGCGCCUCGUGAAUUCAUCUUCGGGGGUAGAGCACUGUUUCGGCUAGGGGGUCAUCCCGACUUACCAACCCGAUGCAAACUACGAAUACCGAAGAAUGUUAUCACGGGAGACACACGGCGGGUGCUAACGUCCGUCGUGAAGAGGGAAACAACCCAGACCGCCAGCUAAGGUCCCAAAGUCAUGGUUAAGUGGGAAACGAUGUGGGAAGGCACAGACAGCCAGGAUGUUGGCUUAGAAGCAGCCAUCAUUUAAAGAAAGCGUAAUAGCUCACUGGUCGAGUCGGCCUGCGCGGAAGAUGUAACGGGGCUAAACCAUGCACCGAAGCUGCGGCAGCGACACUAUGUGUUGUUGGGUAGGGGAGCGUUCUGUAAGCCUGCGAAGGUGACCUGUGAGGGUUGCUGGAGGUAUCAGAAGUGCGAAUGCUGACAUAAGUAACGAUAAAGCGGGUGAAAAGCCCGCUCGCCGGAAGACCAAGGGUUCCUGUCCAACGUUAAUCGGGGCAGGGUGAGUCGACCCCUAAGGCGAGGCCGAAAGGCGUAGUCGAUGGGAAACAGGUUAAUAUUCCUGUACUUGGUGUUACUGCGAAGGGGGGACGGAGAAGGCUAUGUUAGCCGGGCGACGGUUGUCCCGGUUUAAGCAUGUAGGCUGAUUGUCCAGGCAAAUCCGGAUAAUCAAGGCUGAGGUGUGAUGACGAGGCACUACGGUGCUGAAGUAACAAAUGCCCUGCUUCCAGGAAAAGCCUCUAAGCAUCAGGUAACAUUAAAUCGUACCCCAAACCGACACAGGUGGUCAGGUAGAGAAUACCAAGGCGCUUGAGAGAACUCGGGUGAAGGAACUAGGCAAAAUGGUGCCGUAACUUCGGGAGAAGGCACGCUGGUGUGUAGGUGAAGUCCCUGCGGAUGGAGCUGAGACCAGUCGAAGAUACCAGCUGGCUGCAACUGUUUAUUAAAAACACAGCACUGUGCAAACACGAAAGUGGACGUAUACGGUGUGACGCCUGCCCGGUGCCGGAAGGUUAAUUGAUGGGGUUAUCCGUAAGGAGAAGCUCUUGAUCGAAGCCCCGGUAAACGGCGGCCGUAACUAUAACGGUCCUAAGGUAGCGAAAUUCCUUGUCGGGUAAGUUCCGACCUGCACGAAUGGCGUAAUGAUGGCCAGGCUGUCUCCACCCGAGACUCAGUGAAAUUGAACUCGCUGUGAAGAUGCAGUGUACCCGCGGCAAGACGGAAAGACCCCGUGAACCUUUACUAUAGCUUGACACUGAACAUUGAGCCUUGAUGUGUAGGAUAGGUGGGAGGCUUUGAAGCGUGGACGCCAGUCUGCGUGGAGCCAACCUUGAAAUACCACCCUUUAAUGUUUGAUGUUCUAACGUUGGCCCCUGACCGGGGUUGCGGACAGUGUCUGGUGGGUAGUUUGACUGGGGCGGUCUCCUCCCAAAGCGUAACGGAGGAGCACGAAGGUUAGCUAAUCCUGGUCGGACAUCAGGAGGUUAGUGCAAUGGCAUAAGCUAGCUUGACUGCGAGCGUGACGGCGCGAGCAGGUGCGAAAGCAGGUCAUAGUGAUCCGGUGGUUCUGAAUGGAAGGGCCAUCGCUCAACGGAUAAAAGGUACUCCGGGGAUAACAGGCUGAUACCGCCCAAGAGUUCAUAUCGACGGCGGUGUUUGGCACCUCGAUGUCGGCUCAUCACAUCCUGGGGCUGAAGUAGGUCCCAAGGGUAUGGCUGUUCGCCAUUUAAAGUGGUACGCGAGCUGGGUUUAGAACGUCGUGAGACAGUUCGGUCCCUAUCUGCCGUGGGCGCUGGAGAAUUGAGGGGGGCUGCUCCUAGUACGAGAGGACCGGAGUGGACGCAUCACUGGUGUUCGGGUUGUCAUGCCAAUGGCACUGCCCGGUAGCUAAAUGCGGAAGAGAUAAGUGCUGAAAGCAUCUAAGCACGAAACUUGCCCCGAGAUGAGUUCUCCCUGAGACUUUAAGUCUCCUGAAGGAACGUUAAAGACGAUGACGUUGAUAGGCCGGGUGUGUAAGCGCAGCGAUGCGUUGAGCUAACCGGUACUAAUGAACCGUGAGGCUUAACCU
rnacentral:rRNA from 1 species